GCUCUGGGACUGGAGCCUUCUAAGCCUUCCUGCCCCUUCCCCUAGAUAGCUGAGCUUUUUCUGUACGAACUAAACGGAAUGCUGGACAUUGGAAAUAAUUCUACUCAAAAGCAUGAGUUGCCUUUUCUCAUUGUAUUUGCCUCUCAGAAGGUUUUCUUGUAGAUGGAUUUAUGGAAGUGACUUUCUUCUCUGGCCCGGCGAGAGAACUGCUUUCUGGUUUACAGAACUUGGGUGUAGUGAGAAUCCUCCCUUCCACCAGCACUGAAGAAGCACUUCCUCUGAAAGAAGAUUCUGGAAAUGUAGUGGAAGACCUUGCUACCUCACAUCUACCACCUUGUCUACCUCGUACCUCCUCGGGAGUGCCUGGUGGAGACAUGUGGAAAAGAGCUGGAAAGUGAGAAUAGAAUCCCAUUUAUCCACAGUAGCUCAACUAUAGUUAUUAAGGAGUUAUAAUACUGUUCACUGCUUCUGCCUGUGGUGUCUAUUUCUUCCCUCUUUGUCAAAGCCACUUUCAGGUGCCUUAGCCUCUUCCAGAUCCAAGCUUUCUGACUGACGUGUUUAAGAAAGUGAAAUAAAAGUUUGUAGACUACCCU